AUAAAGAAAACCUUUGUAAAUCUUUAAAAUCCCUUGUAAAUCUUUUAAAACCCUUGUAAAAUCCUUUGUAAAUCUUUUAAAAUCCCUUGGAUAUAUUUUAAAACCCUUUUAAAAUCCCUUGUAAAUAUUUUAAAACCCUUUUAAAAUCCCUUGUAAAUCGUUUAAAACCCUUUUAAAAUCCCUUGUAAAUUUAUUUCCCGCCAAAAAAUUCUUUUUUGCGGGAAAAU
rnacentral:sRNA from 1 species